rnacentral:lncRNA from 1 species
CGCAGUUUAAUAAUACGGAUGUGACAGAAGACCAAAAUCCCCUCUUUAUAAAAAUCAAACGACAUCCGCAGCCUUUUCAUUUUCAAAUUCACUGCAGUUUUUUCUAUCUCCUCUACCAUAUCUUCUGCAGUAUAUCUUCUUCAACCAAUCCUUUUGAUUAAAAAAUAAAUUGCCAAGGGAUAAGGAUCUGAUCAUCUAAUCUUAUAAUGAGUCAAGUGAGAGCUAGCGGUUUGGCGAUGAUGUCCCACCCUUAUUGCUUUUGCUGUCGAGUUUGUGUGUAUAUAAAGGCUUUUCAAGAUCUUCAUCAAAUCAUGUCUCAAGUGCAGCCAUAUCCUUUUUCAUACAUGAUCCAUGAAGUAAACAAAGAUUAAAUUUUUUUGUUAACUUCAGGAGUUGGGAUUCGGGUUCGGGAGACAAUAACGGAUGUCUUCGGGACUUGGAUUCGGGAUCGAGUUCUUACGGUUCGGCUUCGGGAUGGCGAAUGGCUCUGGAUCAGAUUUUGAAUUUUUUCAACUUCAGAUGUCUUCGGCCUCGAAUUCGGAUGGCGGAAAGCUUAGAGGUCAGAUGGUCGGAAGGCUUCAGGAUUAGAUGUCUUUGUUCCUUGAUUUUGAAUUUUUUAGGCAUGCUCUGUGCUCAAUUAGAUUUCUUCCUCUCAUAACACUAGUUUCAAUUCCAUCAGAUUUGGGUCUCAGAAUCCUCACUAAAUAUUCUCAAGGAAAAUGGGAUUUUUUGAACUGGGUUCUUGCUAAUCUCCCAUUUAGUUGAAGAAUUAUUGGUUUUAUUGAAGUGAUUUUGGUUAAUUUUUGUGUCUUUGGAUGUAAAGAUGUAAUUUUGCAAUUGAAAUUUUGGGUUGUGAUGAUUUCGUUGGUUUAUGUAUUGGUUCUUUUUCUAUGUUAUUGAAUUUGAAGUAGAGAGAGGGGGAGGGAUUAUUUGUUCUGUUGAAGAGAAACGCUCAACCCAGCUGGGUUGAUCAAUGGGGCACUUUACGAUAACAUUCUCUAAUUUGUAUUAAAUUCAUAUUCCAUUAUUCGUAGUUUGUAUUAAUUCAUAAAUUCAAUAUUUCAGAAUUCAAUCAUUCAUAAUUCUACCCAAACAAAUUAC